CAGUAAAAGAACGGACACAUAUGAAAAUAUAUCAUUCAGCUUUCAUUAAAGUUGAUCCACUAAAUCAAACAGCACAAAUUGAAAAGAAAAGCAAACAGCCACACUGAACAGAAUCAUAUUUACAGUCAGGAUACAAAGUAAUACUGCUCUCGGUCUCAUCAUAAUGCACUGUAACACACGUCAUAGUUCAGUGGAAAAUCCUUCCUGAAACAGUUGUCUUCUACAGGACAGGCAUGUGGGUAGUCUGUGGGGGGAAAGUAAGGUGCAUAUUCAGGGGUGGGGGAGCUCUCCUGCUGGGCUGACCAACAGUGUGACAGGGCAUAAUAGUCCUGUGGAGCAGAGUGCUGAUAGUGGUAUUGCUCUGGGCUUAAGCCAUGGUAACUGGCCUCCAUUCUGGUGGGCGAGUUGUAGCAUGAGGAGGAGGAGGAGGAGAAGGAGUCCUGUGGCGAGUAGCUGUUGGGAUCCAUGGGGUUGCAGAAUGUCAGUGACUCCAAUGAGGAGCAGGGGGCCUGAAAGAGAGGAGGACAUCAGGAUUACUUUGAGUGGGACUGCAGAUGUGUCACGUGAUGGUCAUCCAACUAAAGCUAGGUCCAGGGCUCACCAGGAACACUUCUGAUUUUCAGCGAUCAUUACGCCGAGUGUUGCCGGGUGUUUCUGAUCGCUCAUCCCACCUUCUCAGAGCCUCUCGGUCGGGAAAGUCUUUCACUGCAGUCUGUAACCCCCGAGCUACCACGCCCCAUUCAGGAGCAGAAGAAAUCAACUUUAAACGCGUUAAAGGGAAAAUGCUAGAAAAUGAGUUCCUGAAUAAAAUCCGAGAUGAAACUCACCGGACAUGAUAUCUGGGAUGGAGAGAUGAUUCCUGGAGAAGAACUGUGGGACUCCACAAUGUCCUUUUCUGCCUCAGCAAAAUGGCCAAGAACGAAAUUUGUGCAAAAGUCUCCAAAAAUAGCAACACAAAUAUCUUACAGUAGAGCCAGAGCAUACAGAAUGAUUGUAAUAUAGCUGGGGACAUAUUAGUUUGAGAUUUUCUCCCUCCAUGCCUACUAUUUAAAACCCCUAGAACUCAAUGAUUUGACAAUGAUUUGAUUGCGCGUUACUUACCAUUUGAAUAUUCAGAGGCAACUGACUCAAAUCGAUUUUCAGUAAAAUCACUAAGUAUGAACACUCUAUAAAAUUCACUUUAAUGCCAUGUAAUAGUAUUUUACACUUUAACCCCCCCAAAAAGCACUUUUAUUCAUUUUACCCUCCUUUUGCUCUAUCCCAGCAUCGCCCCCCUCCAUUUAGCACUGCAUCUAGGAUUACUUCUUCAGUGUACCGUUAAGAACGCAUUUCGCCUCACACCCUCGACCACACGUUUACUUGAAUUUUAAAUUUUUAAGUUUAUUUCACAGAAAACACAUUAAUAAUGGCAAAGAGGGAAAGUGGGUGUGGCAAGGGCCAACAGCCCUCGCUGGCAUGGCGAGGAGAGUCUCCAGCUCCAUCAGAUUGCUCACACCUGCUGCAGGCCGCGGGGAGAAGAGACUCAGCAGCUUCACGCGCAGUUUUAUCUUUGAGGGGGCUAAAAAAAUUUAUGAAAAUAAAAAUUUAUUUCAGGAUCAGUGAAAUGUUUCCGGUAAGGAUGCCGAGAUCACAGGGUGUCUUUUAAGAAUCAGAUUUACGUUUUAAAAUAAAUCCCUUAAAUUAUGAUUUACCACAGAUGAUUCACGCUAAACGUUUCUUAAUUUUAAUUAUCCGUAAAAGGCUGUUCUGAAAACAAAGAAACAAACAAGAUGAAAGAAAAGAAAAGAAAAGAAAAGAAAAAAGAAAGCAUUAGUAGCUCACUCUAUGCACUAACAUUCGUUGCACUGCGACCCGCAUUUAUUUCCUUUAUCAGACUGCGGUACGUUUGUUAGAAUACAAAAUUAACUAAUAAAUACAAAGGUUACAUUAAUUUCUCUCAUAUUUACCCAGCUAAAAAUCAUAUAUAUAUAUUUUUUCCCCCACAAACAAAUUAUAUAUUGUCUUAGAUCUAUUAGUAUUUUUACAUUUUUUACUGUGAUAAUAAAAAUCUUAAUUUUGCAGCAUCUAUAUAAUUAUUAAUUUUAGCUACAGAAGCAAUAUUAUUAGAUUAGAGGCAUCCUCACUCCAAAAACAACAGCAUAAAGGUUUUAACUGUUAAUACAUCAUUAUCCUUAGUAAUAUUCGUCCAGCAAAAAUACUUUUUAUGUAUCUCAAGCGCGUUUCACUAAGUACUCUCUUAAUUUCCAUCCCUGUCCUCCUCUCUUCACUACACCCAGGAAUCGUCUGUUUCCUUUCGGGGCGCCUCCUCCUGCAGCCGUGGCGUAGCAGCUCCACCUAGAGGCCACAAAUCAGAAGAUUUCGACAUUAUGUCUAUGUGAUGAAUCCCAGUUUGUGCGGGUAAAUGAGACUUUUCGUCACAUACAAAAGUUAGCCAUGGAAUUCCGCAGGGUUCCAUGCUGAGACCAAUACUUCUCUUGGGCAAUAUUAUUAGAAAACACUGCAUCCAUUUUUCGUUGGUGAGUCAUUCCUACUGCCAUUCCUGUCCCUGUGACAGUACUGAGUGCAUUUUGUAUAAAAAUGGUCCAUUAUUUAUUUCUUAUACUUGUCUUACACUCUUAACUCCCGUCAACAACAGAGAACAAUUAUAUGUGUCCAGUAUUAUUCAUUUUUAACCUAUUCACAGAUUUAAAAUACUUAAAAUGCCAUGUUUCUAAUCAUCUUUGUUCAAGUUCAGUUACCAAUAUAAGUUACAAACAUCCAAACAAGUUAACAUUUGCACAAUCGUACUCCAACACCAACGUUUUUUUUUUUUUUAUGUGUUUUUAAAUGUUAAAGUCUCUGGAACAAGUUGUGUCUCCGUGUUACUCUUAUGGAAAUCCUUCUGAUACAGGAUUUCCUAAUUGGACCUCUAGUCACAUGACUUACAGCGCUUUGUAUAUUUUUUGGAAGGAAAUCAUCUACAAGAACCAAAAUAAAUGUCAUGCUUUGAUCACUUUUUUUGUUUUCCAUGUUUCAAAAUGAUUCACUGAUGUAUCAAAGCGCAACAUGUCUACGCUGUUACCCCUGUUUACAGUAUAAACCUUUUUUUUUUUUGUAAUUUUGAUCAUAUGGUUGAUUAAUAUGUUAAAAAUCCUUUUUAUGGUCUUUAUUUAGGUAUCCAAACCCCCCAAAAUGUCAAGCAGCGAGGUUGUCCAUGUAAAAGACUUACAAAGACUAAAAGAAAACUGAAUUUAAAUGAUAAUGAUAAUAUAUUCAAAAUAAAAAACAGUGGCAAUAUUUUAUUUUAAGAUUGUUAUAUUAUGUUUUAUAUAAAAUGUAUAAUUUUUAUGCAAAAAUCUAAAAUGUAUAAAUGCCAAUAUUUUUUGACCUGCUGAGAUUAUUUAAAAAAGGAAACAUUUUGUCUAGACAUUGACAUGAGACUUUUACUAUGAAGUAAAACUUCAUAAUAGUUAAAAAGCAAUAUCAUCAUCCAGCUGACCCCAUGGGCUCUUUAUGGCUGGUUUAAGAGAAUUGCAGUUCUCAAAAACAGCUAAAUUCGGUUGGUGGACUGGUAUACUUUCCAUGUCAGGUCACACAACCAAUGCAAAACUAGGAAAAUGUUAAGUUAUCAUAAAAAUCUUUAUUUCAUUUCAAAUGUAUAUGUCGGGUUUUUGGUACCAAACCCAAGAGUAAAUACAGUUGUCCAUGUAAAAACGGUUUUGAAGUGAAUAUAGUUGGAAAAGUCAUGUGAACAGCUGCAAGAAAUGUUACUCCAUGAAAUCAAUAAUGUUAUUAACAGCCUUUAUACAUUACAUUUCUAAAAUGGUUAUUAUUGGUUAUUGUUACUGUUAUUAUUUUUUACUUAAUAAAUGUCAGAAACCUUUA